AGCAACGCCGCGUGAGCGAAGAAGGUCUUCGGAUCGUAAAGCUCUGUUGUCAGGGAAGAACAAGUGCCGUUCGAACAGGGCGGUACCUUGACGGUACCUGACGAGGAAGCCACGGCUAACUACGUGCCAGCAGCCGCGGUAAUACGUAGGUGGCAAGCGUUGUCCGGAAUUAUUGGGCGUAAAGCGCGCGCAGGCGGUUCCUUAAGUCUGAUGUGAAAUCUCGCGGCUCAACCGCGAGCGGCCAUUGGAAACUGGGGAACUUGAGUGCAGGAGAGGGGAGCGGAAUUCCACGUGUAGCGGUGAAAUGCGUAGAGAUGUGGAGGAACACCAGUGGCGAAGGCGGCUCUCUGGCCUGUAACUGACGCUGAGGCGCGAAAGCGUGGGGAGCGAACAGGAUUAGAUACCCUGGUAGUCCACGCCGUAAACGAUGAGUGCUAAGUGUUAGAGGGUAUCCACCCUUUAGUGCUGCAGCAAACGCAUUAAGCACUCCGCCUGGGGAG
rnacentral:rRNA from 1 species